CCUACGGGAGGCAGCAGUGGGGAAUAUUGCGCAAUGGGGGAAACCCUGACGCAGCAACGCCGCGUGAGUGAGGAAGGACUUCGGUCUGUAAAGCUCUGUUAAUGUGGAAAAAUGGUAGUUGGUCUAAUAGGCCGAUUACUUGAUGGUACACAUAGAGGAAGCACCGGCUAACUUCGUGCCAGCAGCCGCGGUAAUACGAAGGGUGCAAGCGUUGUUCGGAUUUAUUGGGCGUAAAGCGCGCGUAGGCGGACCUGCAAGUCAGAUGUGAAAUCUCGGGGCUCAACCUCGAAACUGCGUCUGAAACUACAGGUCUAGAAUCUUGGAGGGGGAAGGGAAUUUCUCAUGUAGGGGUAAAAUCCGUAGAUAUGAGAAGGAACACCAGAGGCGAAGGCGCCUUCCUGGACAAGUAUUGACGCUGAGGCGCGAAAGCGUGGGGAUCAAACAGGAUUAGAUACCCUGGUAGUCCACGCUGUAAACGAUGAAUACUAGAUAUUGCAGGAUUUGACCCCAGCAGUGUCGUAGCUAACGCGUUAAGUAUUCCGCUGGAAGUCGGUCGCAAGACUAAAACGUUAAUGUAGUUAGUACGGCGUGAGACGUAGACCGACGGACGACGACGAGGGAGGAGG
rnacentral:rRNA from 1 species